rnacentral:lncRNA from 1 species
CUCUUGCUUUUGCUCUUGCACUCUUGCACUCUGGCUCCUGAAGCUGUAAGCAAUAGAGCUCUUGCUCUCUUGCACUCUUGCUCCUGAAGAUGUAAGCAAUAAAGUUUUGCCGCAGAAGAUUCCGGUUUGUUGUGUUCUUCCUGGCCGGUCGCGAGAACGAGUGAGCAUGCACAGCACCUUCCACUACUCUGAAAGCAAGCCCAUAGGGAUGAAGCUUCCAGGCAGGAUCAGCUUGAUUUCUCCACAUAAUACAAUUCAAACAUGAGUACAAAAUGGACUUUGAAGAGAGUUUAUAAUUUUGAAGUGGCCAUGAAUGAAAUAAUACACCUGAUACUUGCUGAAGGAAGGCAGUUGGGACUGACCCAGGAAGCAGAUGCUGCUACCCAAGCUAGGGAUGGAAGCAUGGGUAGUUAUUCUCUUACUGCUGAGUGUAAUUGAAAUAAUCCAUAAUAAAAUGGUGAGUCAGGAAAUACUCCUCAUGCUCCCAAAUCAAUUAAGAUUGGAGAUUAUAGUUUGUAAUUGUUCUCUAUCUAACUAAUAAACGCC